AUUGAACGCUGGCGGCAGGCCUAACACAUGCAAGUCGAACGAGUGGCGGACGGGUGAGUAAUGUAUGGGAAACUGCCCGAUGGAGGGGGAUAACUACUGGAAACGGUAGCUACUACCGCAUACCAUCGGAUGUGCCCAGAUGGGAUUCGCUAGUAGGUGGGGUAAAGUCUCACCUAGGCGACGAGCCCUAGCUGGUCUGAGAGGAUGACCAGGCAAACUGGAACUGAGACACGGUCCAGACGACUACGGGAGGCAGCAGUGGGGAAUAUUGCACAAUGGGCGAAAGACUGAUGCAGCCAUGCCGCGUGUAGGAAGAAGGCCUGAGGGUUGUAAAGUACUUUCAGCGAGGAGGCGUUACUCGCAGAAGAAGCACCGGCUAACUCCGUGCCAGCAGCCGCGGUAAUAC
rnacentral:rRNA from 1 species